UCGUAAACGCGUUAGGGAUUGAAGCAUCUGUUUGAGCUCUUUUUUACUUUUUUAGAAGUAAAAAAAGCGAGUGCUAAAAGCCCGACCUUUU
rnacentral:misc_RNA from 1 species